GGUUCUAUGGUGUAAUGGUUAGCACUCUGGACUUUGAAUCCAGCGAUCUGGUAGAACCU
rnacentral:tRNA from 1 species